rnacentral:rRNA from 1 species
AGUGAACGCUGGCGGUAGGCCUAACACAUGCCAGUCGAACGGCAGCACAGUAAGAGCUUGCUCUUACGGGUGGCGAGUGGCGGACGGGUGAGGAAUACAUCGGAAUCUACUUUUUCGUGGGGGAUAACGUAGGGAAACUUACGCUAAUACCGCAUACGACCUACGGGUGAAAGCAGGGGAUCUUCGGACCUUGCGCGAUUGAAUGAGCCGAUGUCGGAUUAGCUAGUUGGCGGGGUAAAGGCCCACCAAGGCGACGAUCCGUAGCUGGUCUGAGAGGAUGAUCAGCCACACUGGAACUGAGACACGGUCCGGACUCCUACGGGAGGCAGCAGUGGGGAAUAUUGGACAAUGGGCGCAAGCCUGAUCCAGCCAUACCGCGUGGGUGAAGAAGGCCUUCGGGUUGUAAAGCCCUUUUGUUGGGAAAGAAAAGCAGCAGGUUAAUACCCCGCUGUUCUGACGGUACCCAAAGAAUAAGCACCGGCUAACUUCGU